rnacentral:rRNA from 1 species
GAUGAACGCUGGCGGCGUGCCUAAUACAUGCAAGUCGAGCGAAUGGAUUGAGAGCUUGCUCUUAUGAAGUUAGCGGCGGACGGGUGAGUAACACGUGGGUAACCUGCCCAUAAGACUGGGAUAACUCCGGGAAACCGGGGCUAAUACCGGAUAACAUUUUGAACCGCAUGGUUCGAAAUUGAAAGGCGGCUUCGGCUGUCACUUAUGGAUGGACCCGCGUCACAUUAGCUAGUUGGUGAGGUAACGGCUCACCAAGGCAACGAUGCGUAGCCGACCUGAGAGGGUGAUAGGCCACACUGGGACUGAGACACGGCCCAGACUCCUACGGGAGGCAGCAGUAGGGAAUCUUCCGCAAUGGACGAAAGUCUGACGGAGCAACGCCGCGUGAGUGAUGAAGGCUUUCGGGCCGUAAAACUCUGUUGUUAGGGAAGAACAAGUGCUAGUUGAAUAAGCUGGCACCUUGACGGUACCUAACCAGAAAGCCACGGCUAACUACGUGCCAGCAGCCGCAGUAA